UUCCCGUCCCUCUCUCUCUCUCUCUCUCUCUCUCUCUCUCUCUCUCUCUCAGUCGACUUCUUAUUUCUUUGUUCUCCAACUAGCAAAGGUGACGCAGCGGCGUGGAUUUUCUUCUCUUGCCUCUCAUCCUUCUCUCUAUUUCGUAUGAAGGUUCGCUACGAAAGCAAAGCGUUGGUGUUGUCCAAUAAAACCAAGAAUUUAGCAUUCAAAAUGAAGAUUUUCCAGCUUUACCUAGUCUUAAAGGUGGGAACAAUGGUUAUAGAAUGGAUCUACACCAAAAGAACAACUUAAUGACAAUGCCAUGUCCAUGAUGCAGUCCCAGCACUUCUCUAUGGGGAGAUCUCUUGGCUUCAGCUUAGGAGGGACAUAUUCAUCUUAUCGCCAGCAACAACAACAACAUACUGCAUCAACAGGUUAGCAGAUCCUGCAAGUUUGGGCAUAGUUAGAGUUGACAUCUCAGAAAGGAAUUGGAAUGAACUUGUGAGAAAGGAAUUUCAUAGCUCUUUGGUUGCUGGUGUUCCAUUAACUAUUGUUCCUGAGCCCCCACACAAGCACAAUGCCAUGACGUUUCUCAUGUAUUAAUUUGUAUUCAUUUGAAACUUAACAUGUAUUAAUUUCUGAUUCGAAUGUAUUAGUUUUUUUGGUAAGAAAAUAUUUGAAUGGAAAUAGAUCUUUUAAAUUG